GGCCUGAAAUAACACUAAAUUGCAAGUUUAGUUUUGAAAGUAUAAGCUUUCUCAGGCUUA
rnacentral:tRNA from 1 species